rnacentral:rRNA from 1 species
UGGGGAAUCUUCCGCAAUGGACGAAAGUCUGACGGAGCAACGCCGCGUGUAUGAUGAAGGUCUUCGGAUUGUAAAGUACUGUCAUUGGGGAAGAACGGUUUUCUUGAAAAGAUUGAGAAGACAUGACGGUACCCAAGGAGGAAGCCCCGGCUAACUACGUGCCAGCAGCCGCGGUAAUACGUAGGGGGCAAGCGUUGUCCGGAAUUAUUGGGCGUAAAGGGCGCGUAGGCGGGCCUUUAAGUCCGGUGUGAAAGAUCAGGGCUCAACCCUGAGAGUGCAUCGGAAACUGGAGGCCUUGAGGACAGGAGAGGAAAGUGGAAUUCCACGUGUAGCGGUGAAAUGCGUAGAUAUGUGGAGGAACACCAGUGGCGAAGGCGACUUUCUGGACUGUAACUGACGCUGAGGCGCGAAAGCGUGGGGAGCAAACAGGAUUAGAUACCCUGGUAGUCCACGCCGUAAACGAUGAGUGCUAGGUGUAGAGGGUAUCGACCCCUUCUGUGCCGCAGUUAACACAAUAAGCACUCCCGCCUGGGGAGUACGGCCGCAAGG